rnacentral:lncRNA from 1 species
UUUCAUUUGAAGGUGUCAGUUUUUUUGGGAUUUUCUUAUUCUUAGGUAAUUCUUGGUUGCAAUUAGAAUUGCAAAAAGGAGAAAUUUAUGGGUAGUGGGUACCUUUGUUUGGUUGAAGUAUUUCUGGGUUUUUAUUUUUAGAGAGUUAUUUGAAGAUCAAGCUAUUGGGGGUUGCUGGAUUUUGAGACAAGGGAUAAGUAUCUUCUUUCUGAG